UACGAGGGGUGCAAGUGUUGUUCGGAUUUACUGGGCGUAAAGGGCGCGUAGGCGGCUUUGUAAGUCACUUGUGAAAUCUCCGGGCUUAACUCGGAACGGCCAAGUGAUACUGCAAAGCUAGAGUGCAGAAGGGGCAAUCGGAAUUCUUGGUGUAGCGGUGAAAUGCGUAGAUAUCAAGAGGAACACCUGAGGUGAAGACGGGUUGCUGGGCUGACACUGACGCUGAGGCGCGAAAGCCAGGGGAGCAAACGGG
rnacentral:rRNA from 1 species